AAUUACCCACUCCCAGCACGGGGAGGUAGUGACGAAAAAUAACGAUACGGGACUCAUCCGAGGCCCCGUAAUCGGAAUGAGUACACUUUAAAACUUUUCCCGAGGAUCAAUUGGAGGGUAAGUCUGGUGCCAGCAGCCGCGGUAAUUCCAGCUCCAAUAGCGUAUAUUAAAGUUGUUGCGGUUAAAAAGCUCGUAGUCGAAUCUGUGUCCCGCGCCGCUGGUUCAUCGCUCGCGGUGUUCAACUGGCGUGUCUCGCGGGACGUCCUGCCGGUGGGCGCUCGUCCGUUUCGGCGGUCGUGGCCCAACUCGCUUCCGUCUCGCGCGGUUGUGAAUCCCAUCGCGGUGCUCUUUAUUGAGUGUCGAGGUGGGCCGGCACGUUUACUUUGAACAAAUUAGAGUGCUUAAAGCAGGCCAAUUUUGCCUGAAUAUUGUGUGCAUGGAAUAAUGGAAUAGGACCUCGGUUCUAUUUUGUUGGUUUUCGGAACCCCGAGGUAAUGAUUAAUAGGAACGGAUGGGGGCAUUCGUAUUGCGACGUUAGAGGUGAAAUUCUUGGAUCGUCGCAAGACGGACAGAAGCGAAAGCAUUUGCCAAAAACGCUUUCAUUGAUCAAGAACGAAAGUUAGAGGUUCGAAGGCGAUCAGAUACCGCCCUAGUUCUAACCAUAAACGAUGCCAGCUAGCGAUCCGCCGACGUUCCUCCGAUGACUCGGCGGGCAGCUUCCGGGAAACCAAAGCUUUUGGGUUCCGGGGGAAGUAUGGUUGCAAAGCUGAAACUUAAAGGAAUUGACGGAAGGGCACCACCAGGAGUGGAGCCUGCGGCUUAAUUUGACUCAACACGGGACACCUCACCAGGCCCGGACACCGGAAGGAUUGACAGAUUGAGAGCUCUUUCUUGAUUCGGUGGGUGGUGGUGCAUGGCCGUUCUUAGU
rnacentral:rRNA from 1 species